rnacentral:tRNA from 1 species
GCCGACGUCGGAUAACCCGGUAUUCCGUCCGCCUUGAGAGCGGAUGCCCGUAAGGGUGUGUAGGUUCAAAUCCUGCCGUCGGCG